rnacentral:lncRNA from 1 species
UAAAGAGAGCCUACAGAAUGAGACAAAAUCUUUACCACAUACACUUCAGAUAUGGCAUUAAUCUUUGGGGUAUAUAAAAAACUCAAAAAACUUAACACGAACCAAACAAACAAACCAAAAAAAUACCAGAUAACCCAAUCAAUAAAUGGGCUAAGGAACGGAAUAGACACUUCACACAAGAAAUAAAAUAGAUCGACAAAUAUAUGAAAAAAGUUCAACAUCUAGCAAUUAGUGAAAUGCCAAUCAAAACUACUUUUAAGAUUUCAUCUCAUUCCAGUCAGAAUGGCAAUUUUAAAGAAUACUAGCAACAAUAAAUUUUAGCGAGAAUGUGGGGAAAAAGGCACACUCAUAUAUUCCUGGUGGGACUGCAAAUUGUUGCAACCAGUCUGGAAAGCAGUAUGGCGAUUCCUCAGAAAACUUGGAAUGGAACACCCGUUGACCCAGCUACCCCCUCCUUGGUCUAGACUCAAAUGACUUAAAAUCAGCAUACUGCAGUGAUGCAGGCACAUCAUUGUUUAUAGCAGCUCAAUUCACAAUAGUUAAACUAUGGAACCAACCUAGGUGCCCUUUAAUAGAUCAAUGGAUAAAGAAACUGUGAUAUAUAUACACAAAGGAAUAAACAGCUUUAAAAGAAGAAUGAAAUUAUGGCAUUUUCUGGUAAGUGGAUGAAACUGGCGAAUAUCAUGCUAGGUGAAACAGGCCAUCCCCAAAACAAAGGCAGAAUGUUCUGAUAUGGGGAUAUUAUAAUGCACACAAUAAGUGGAGGGAAGGAAUGAACAGAAAUACUUUGGAUUAGACAAAGGGAAAAGAAGGAAAAGGAGUGGUGAUUGGUUUAGGAAAGGCAGUAGAAUGAAUUAAACGUUACUUUCCUAUGUUUAUAUGUAAACACAGAACCAAUGUAACUGUACAACCAUAUCAUGUACAACCGCAAGAAUGAGAAAUUAUACUCCAUGUACGUAUAAUAUGUCAAAAUACAUUCUAAUAUCAUCCGUAACUAAAAAGACCCAAUAUUUUUUUAAAACAAUAAAACCCACAAAUUAAUGACAUAUAAAAGUCAUUCAAUGAAGUAACAGAAAUUUUUCUGAAUCUUGAAAAUGAGAUGAACAUGCAGGUUCUGGAGGUAUUUAGAAUAGACAGGACCAGAAAAAAACUUCUCCAUGGCAUAUUGUAGCUAAAAUAUCAGAAAUUCAAAGUAAAUAACUUCAAGAGUUUCAAGAGUGAAAUGUCAAGUCACUUAUAAAGUCAAUCCAAUAAAAUAAUAGUUUUCUCAACAUAAACUUCAAAGGGCAUUAAGUUCUGAAAGAAAACAACUGCCAACCUAGAUUACUAUAUCCAGUAAAGGUAUUCCUAAGAAUCAAAGAAGAAAUAAAGAUCUCCCAAGAUAAACUAAUUUAUAAUUCCUAAGUCAGCUCUGCAGAAGAUACUUAAAGGAAUCCUACACACAGAAGAGGAAGAUAAGAAUAACUAAGAAAGCAUGGGAAAGAAAAAAUCUCAUUAAAAGAAUGGACAAGAAAAAAUGAGAAUUAGGGACAAUUAAUUAUUAUAAAAAAUGAUAAAAAGUAACAUAUACCUCUCAGAAAAUAAUGCACAAUGUAAAUGGUCCAAAUUUUCCAACUAAAAUACAUAGAUUGGCAGAUUGCAUUUAAAAAAAAAAACCCAUUGUCUCUAAGGAACACACUCACAGGCAAAGACAAUCACAGGCUGAAAAUGAAAGGAUACGAAAUGGUAUUCCAUGCAGAUCUGUUACUUUCAUAUCAGACAAAGCAGACUUCAAGCUGAAAUAGUCAGAAGAGAGAAAGAUAGUUGUUGUGUUUUAGAUAUGAGGUGUCCCACAAAAUCUCAUGUAUGAGAAAACAUAAUCAUUUCACCUCUGAAAACUUUUAUGAGAAGUAUAACACAAUUGGUUGAUUAAUCCACUCACAUAGAUUGAUUGAGCAGUAACUAUAGGCCCAAUGGAGUAUGGCUGGAGG